rnacentral:rRNA from 1 species
GAUGAACGCUGGCGGCGUGCCUAAUACAUGCAAGUCGAGCGAACAGACGAGGAGUUUGCUCCUCUGACGGUAUCGGCGGACGGGUGAGUAACACGUGGAUAACCUACCUAUAAGACUGAGAUAACUUCUAGAAACCGGAGCUAAUACCGGAUAAUAUAUUGAACCGCAUGGUUCAAUAGUGAAAGACGGUUUUGCUUUUAGUGAUAGGUGGAUCCGCGCCGCAUUAGCUAGUUGGUAAGGUAACGGCAUACCAAGGCGACGAUGCGUAGCCGACCUGAGAGGGUGAUCGGCCACACUGGAACUGAGACACGGUCCAGACUCCUACGGGAGGCAGCAGUAGGGAAUCGUACGCAAUGGGCGAAAGCGUGACGGAGCAGCGGCGAGGGAGUGAUGAAGGUCUUCGGAUCGUAGUACUCUGUUAUUAGGGAAGAACAAAUGUGUAAGUAACUAUGCACGUCUUGACGGUACUGAAUCAGAAAGCCACGGCUAACUACGUG